rnacentral:rRNA from 1 species
AGUGAACGCUGGCGGUAGGCCUAACACAUGCAAGUCGAACGGCAGCACAGUAAGAGCUUGCUCUUACGGGUGGCGAGUGCCGGACGGGUGGGGAAUACAUCGGAAUCUACUUUUUCGUGGGGGAUAACGUAGGGAAACUUACGCUAAUACCGCAUACGACCUACGGGUGAAAGCAGGGGAUCUUCGGACCUUGCGCGACUGAAUGAGCCGAUGUCGGAUUAGCUAGUUGGCGGGGUAAAGGCCUCCCAAGGCGACGCUGCGUAGCUGGUCUGAGAGGAGGGUGAGCGGCACUAGAGGGACGGAGAGGUGCAGACUACUACGAGGGGCGGCAGUGGGGAGUAUUAGACAAUGGUGGGAGGACGGAUGCAGCCACACCGCGUGGGGGGAGAUGGCGUUCGUGUUGUAGAGACCUUUUGUUGGGAGAGAAGAGCAGCAGGUUAGUAUCCCGCUGUUCUGACGGUACCCGAAGAAGAAGCGCCGGCUAACUACGUG